rnacentral:rRNA from 1 species
GUCUAUGGCCAUACCACCCUGAACGUGCCCGAUCUCAUCUGAUCUCGAAAGCUAAGCAGGGUUGGGCCUGGUUAGCGCUUGGAUG